ACCCUAACCGUGCGAAGGUAGCAUAAUCACUUGUUCUUUAAAUGAGGACUUGUAUCAACGGCACUACGAGGGCUAUACUGUCUCCUUUUUCUAAUCAGUGAAACUGAUCUCCCCGUGAAGAAGCGGGGAUCAAGAUAUAAGACGAGAAGACCCCAUGGAGCUUUAAACUUACCACCCACCUCUGUGGUACCACACCAUUCAACACAAGAGACCUGCGUGCUAGUUUUAGGUUGGGGGGACCACGGAGUAUAAUUAAACCUCCGCAACAAAUGGGCUAAUACCCUUAUCCACGAGACACAACUCUAAGAAUUACUAAACUAAUGCUUAUGACCCGAUAUUCGAUCAAUGAACCAAGUUACCCUGGGGAUAACAGCGCAAUCUACUUCAAGAGCCCCUAUCGACAAGUAGGUUUACGACCUCGAUGUUGGAUCAGGGUAUCCCGGUGGUGCAGCCGCUACCGAUGGUUCGUUUGUUCAACGAUUAAAACCCUACGUGAUCUGA
rnacentral:rRNA from 1 species